rnacentral:rRNA from 1 species
GACGAACGCUGGCGGCGUGCCUAAUACAUGCAAGUCGAGCGGACUAAUGGGAGCUUGCUCCCGUUAGUUAGCGGCGGACGGGUGAGUAACACGUGGGCAACCUACCUGUAAGACUGGGAUAACUUCGGGAAACCGGAGCUAAUACCGGAUGACAUAAAGGAACUCCUGUUCCUUUAUUGGAAGAUGGCUUCGGCUAUCACUUACAGAUGGGCCCGCGGCGCAUUAGCUAGUUGGUGAGGUAACGGCUCACCAAGGCGACGAUGCGUAGCCGACCUGAGAGGGUGAUCGGCCACACUGGGACUGAGACACGGCCCAGACUCCUACGGGAGGCAGCAGUAGGGAAUCUUCCGCAAGGGACGAAAGUCUGACGGAGCAACGCCGCGUGAGCGAUGAAGGCCUUCGGGUCGUAAAGCUCUGUUGUUAGGGAAGAAUAAGUGCUAGUUGAAUAAGCUGGCACCUUGACGGUACCUAACCAGAAAGCCACGGCUAACUACGUGCCAGCAGCCGCAGUAA